rnacentral:rRNA from 1 species
UACGUAGGGUGCAAGCGUUAAUCGGAAUUACUGGGCGUAAAGCGUGCGCAGGCGGUGAUGUAAGACAGGUGUGAAAUCCCCGGGCUUAACCUGGGAACUGCAUUUGUGACUGCAUCGCUGGAGUGCGGCAGAGGGGGAUGGAAUUCCGCGUGUAGCAGUGAAAUGCGUAGAUAUCUGGAGGAACACCGGUGGCGAAGGCGGCAUCCUGGACCAACACUGACACUGAUGAGCGAAAGCCAGGGGAGCAAACGGG